rnacentral:rRNA from 1 species
UUGAUCUCAAAUCAGGUA